GUUCGGUAAACAGGAAGUUGUCAAGUGAUGAAUCUGAAAACGCAUCACACGGUAUGGCUGACAUAUAUAAAUGUUGAUACCAAAUUACAGAAAGGGUGGAUGUGUAGUUCCUGAGAAAAAUGUGACGAAAGUUUCAUGGGACGGACUGACUGACGGACUGACGGACGGACGGACGGACGGACGGACUGACAGACAGAGGUAAAACAGUAUACCCCCCCUUUUUUAAAGCGGGUUUAAAGCGGGGGUAUAAAAA
rnacentral:lncRNA from 1 species